CUCCAUUAUCACUGACUGGUGACUGCCAAGAUGGAACACUCUAGCUUAGAGAUUUUGAAAUGCUUUGGAGAUGGAGAGGGGAGUGGACAGCACAUAUAAACAAGUUCAGAGAAGGAAGUAAAUAUUAGCAGAUAACUUUGAUGCUCCAAUGGGAUAAAUCAUGAAACUAAUUGCAGGUAUCCUCCAUUUACUUUGAUUACUCAAUUUUAUUAUUAUGAAAGUUGAGUUAAAAGUCCAAAAAAGAAAAAGGAAAGAAAGAAAGUUAAUCUAUUUUUGAAUUGAUUGAAAAACAUGGAAUAUAAUUGAAUAAAUUACGCUCAUGAUCUGAUGUUAUGUGAUAUUACACACUACAUACUCAGUGUCAUGUUUAUAAAGGAAGUGCAACAUUUCUCAAGAGUAACCCCACAAAAAAUGUUCUUUAAAGAUUUAGUUGCUGAAAGAAAUACCCUCCAGAGAUUUAAAAGACAAAAAUAUCCUCAAAAAGUUUUAAAGCCGUGACAAAAGUGUCCUGACAUAAAGUAAGUAUGUAUCUGUUUUUACUUUGCGUCGAGACACUUUGUCACGUUUUUAAAAUUUUUUAGGAUAUCUUUGUUGUUUUCAUUUUUGAGGGGUAUUUUUGUUAACUAAAUUUUUGGAGGAUAUUUUUAAUAAUAUACUCUUUCAUAAAGUAUAAGGGUGUCAACUACCUUAUAACCUAAAUAUCAGGGAGGUUAGUGUACUAUUUAUAAUUGGGAGUAUCAUAUGUAAUUUUGCCUAACCACAUGAAAUGAUAGUAUAAUUUAUUUUAAAUUUUGCUUGGGCUUAAAAUAAGAUGAAAUGGAUUGGUAUUUGAUGAAAUUCAUUCCAUUCCAUUUUAUUCAAUAAUCUUAUCUUUUAGACCUCUAAUUUGACUGAAAUGGGAGGCAAUUGGUUGAAUCAACUUAAAAUGGUUAUACCAUUCCAUCUUUUGUUGUAUUUUCAGACAAUGAGAUGAAAACUUCUCUUCAAAUCAGUUUUUUAUUUUUUAUAUGAAAAAAAAUAAAAUGCUUGGUGUUGCAUACUCUUUCUUCCUCAAUUAGAUUAGGGUGCCCUCUUAAACAUGAUUUCAGAGACUUGGCAUCUUAAUCUCCCAACCCUACAUUUAUGGGGAUUGAUGGAGACAUGUCCCAGAAACGAUUUGUCAAUGGCCAUAAAUGAUCUUCUCAGAAAUUGCUUGCUUGAUCAACAUAAGAUCUAUAUGCAUUGCACCCUGCAUUUAUAUAUAGAUAUGUCAAAGUUCAUAGUAUCAAGGUUAUUAAAUUCAAGAGUUCAUCUGAACUCAUAGUUUAAGUAUAUUUGAAUAGUAAAACACACCCAUAAGCUCUAUUUAGAGAUCUAAACUUGUAAAUUAGCAACGAUGGUAUAAUGUGGAAGCUUGGUGUAAUCAAAACCGAUAAUUUUUUUUUUUUUUUUACAUAGUAUUCCCCAACUCGACAGGUUAAUAACUAAUCAACUGCAGAUCAGAACUCUAUUUAAGGGUCUGCAACUGGACAAGGAGUUGCUACAUACACAGUGCAGGAUUUGAAUUCCCUGACAUAUCAAUUUGAUUUGCCAAUUUGCAUCCUACAUGUUCUUUUUUUUCUGUUUAUAUCUAUUUUUCUCACCUUGGAACUUCUGGUUUAGAAAGAAGGCCUUCCAAAGAUUAAUAUGUAUUAUUUUCUGUUUAGGUCACACAACUAGUAAUCUUAUUCACUCAAAUCUAGUUUUUCCCCUUAAUAUCUUAAUCUUAUAAUUAAAAUUUUUUGAUACCAUUACUCAAGACAAUUUUAGCAUGCAAAUUCAAAUACUUAAUUAGCUAUCAGUUCUUUCUAAUAAGCACAUGACAUCAAUAUUAAGAUAAAGCAAUUCAAAGUGGGAAAAAGCUACAAGAGAAAAGGGACCCAAAUAUCUGAAGUUACAAUUGUGAGGGAGUUAUUACUGUGACAGAGGGUAGUUGAGGCUGAACAAUAAUGUUGCUAUGGUAGUGAAUGUGGAUUGCUUUAUUUUUCUUUUCCCUUAAAGGAUUAUGAAGUGUCAUCACAUUGGAUAUGUGGAAUAAAUCAAAUGGUUACUUUGGUGUGUCGGUUUC